GACGAACGCUGGCGGCGUGCCUAAUACAUGCAAGUAGAACGCUGAGGAGAGGAGCUUGCUCUUCUUGGAUGAGUUGCGAACGGGUGAGUAACGCGUAGGUAACCUGCCUUGUAGCGGGGGAUAACUAUUGGAAACGAUAGCUAAUACCGCAUAACAAUGGAUGACACAUGUCAUUUAUUUGAAAGGGGCAAUUGCUCCACUACAAGAUGGACCUGCGUUGUAUUAGCUAGUAGGUGAGGUAAUGGCUCACCUAGGCGACGAUACAUAGCCGACCUGAGAGGGUGAGCGGCCAGACUGGGACGGAGACACGGCACAGACUCCUACGGGAGGCAGCAGUAGGGAAUCGGCGGCAAGGGGGGGAAACCUGAGCGAGCAACGCCGCGUGAGUGAAGAAGGUUUUCGGAUCGUAAAGCUCGGUUGUAAGUCAAGAACGGGUGUGAGAGUGGAAAGUUCACACUGUGACGGUAGCUUACCAGAAAGGGACGGCUAACUACGUG
rnacentral:rRNA from 1 species